UACAUGACUAGGUCAGAAUUAUUGA
rnacentral:piRNA from 1 species